rnacentral:tRNA from 1 species
AUGACCUCGCUGAUGGAGAGGUAUUCGAACCCCCGGUAUUCCUAUCAAUACUUCAGUUUUCAAGACCGAUUCUUUCAACCGCUCAGACAUCCAUCCCUGCGCUCGCCCACCCUAUCUAUCUGCACGCUGGCAGGUAGGGGCAACUCUAUGUCAUUCGCUACGCUUGCUUGCGCCCCACCCCGUAAGCUGACUCUAUUGCCUAGCGGUUAG